GACGAACGCUGGCGGCGUGCCUAAUACAUGCAAGUAGAACGCUGAAGAGAGGAGCUUACUCUUCUUGGAUGAGUUGCGAACGGGUGAGUAACGCGUAGGUAACCUGCCUUGUAGCGGGGGAUAACUAUUGGAAACGAUAGCUAAUACCGCAUAACAAUGGAUGACACAUGUCAUUUAUUUGAAAGGGGCAAUUGCUCCACUACCAGCUGGACCUGCGUUGUAUUAGCUAGUAGGUGAGGUAAUGGCUCAACUAGGCGAAGAUACAUAGACGACCUGAGAGGGUGCACGGCCACACUGGGACUGAGACACGGCCCAGACGCCUACGGGGGGCAGCAGGAGGGAAUCUUCGGCAAUGGGGGCAACCCUGACCGAGCAACGCCGCGUGAGUGAAGAAGGUUUUCGGAUCGUAAAGCUCUGUUGUAAGUCAAGAACGGGUGUGAGAGUGGAAAGUUCACGCUGUGACGGUAGCUAACCAGAAAGGGACGGCUAACUACGUG
rnacentral:rRNA from 1 species